GGGAACGGAACAGGAACCUGAGUUUGGACACAGUCACAAGGUGCUGGGAACCAUGAAAAUUGUAGAGAGCCAAAUCCCCCCUCCCCACACUGUUCCUGCUGAGGGCUGAGGAGACUCUCCAUUUUCCUGACGAGACCCUCCGUUUCCCUUCAGAAUUUUUUCUUUUAAUAUUUUCCCUUUAGUCCUUUAAAAUGUUUUUUUCCAGAUUUAUUUUUAUUUUUUGUUUAUGGAUAUUUUACCCGCCUGUGCGUUCAUGCAGUGUGUGUGUGUGUGUGUGUGUGUGUGUGUGUGUGUGUGUGUGUAGAUGGUGCUUGCCACACAAGCAAGAGGACCUGAGUUUGGUACUCAGAACCCAUGUAAAGAGUGGAGCACAACAGUACUUGUGGCAGUGCGUGUGGCUGUGCGAUUACAUAACCCCCGUGCUGAGGAAGAUCUCUGGGUAUUGCUGGCCAACUUGGUGAGAAAGUGUCUUGAAAGUGUCUCAAACCCAGAAAGUUGGUCGUGCCUGAGGAAACAUGCAUGAGUGUGUGUGUGUGUGUGUGUGUUUGUGUGUGUGUGUGUGUGUGCGCGCGUGCGCGCGCACUCAUGCACACUCACAGAAGUAGAAUGUGGCAUGUGGUGUGCUUGAGGUACUUCCUGUUCUCCUGCCUCCUCCUCAGAAGCGCAAGCGCUGUGGACACAGGGUCCCCAGAGCCGUGUCUGCCUCCUGACGUGCAGGAAGUGAUCAGUAAGUGUUUCCUCAUGCGUGGACUUUUCCCCUCAGAGUAGCGGUGGCCAGGACUUGGCCAGUCGUCAAUGGCCAUCCUUCCGGUCUCUGACAGAGCAGCCACAUGCCCAGAGUGACCCAGCACAUCCACAUCGGGGACAGGUGGUGCCUCUGGGAUCUAGGCACCAUGUGACUAAGGGAGGCAUCCAGGAGCUGUGCAUGCCCAGGCCUUCCCUUAUGACACUGCUUGAAAUGAUACACCCUCUUAAGGUGUGAGUUUGAGGCCUCUCUGAGCAGACCCUGCCGCCCUCUGCCUCCCCCAGCCCCACCCCUUUGGUCCACUCGCAGGUUAGGGAUCAUUGCUGGGGUCCCUGGGACCUGCACGCAGCCUUGCCGCCCAGCAGCUCAGCUGGCUCCGCCCCACAGCAUCACCCGCCCACCCCG
rnacentral:lncRNA from 1 species